UCAAUGGCAACUGUGUAGCAGUGGCUAAGAGAGGGUGGUACAAAGUUAAGACACUGGCAGUCUGCAGAGACCUCAAUCUAGAAUCUGCCUUCAACGAUGAACAAAGCCAUGCUGUUCUAACACGGUACUGCAGCCAGGACUCUGAGCAGCUCCCCUAGGAAGAGACGCACAUCCUACAUUUCCACCCUUCUCUGCCUCCCCCUGGCAACCACAACCACACCUGACCAACAGGGAGAGAGAAGCCAGUCCAGACAGGAAAAACAAAGGCAAACACAUAUUCCAGGAAAAGAUCUAGCGCCAUUUUUACAAACUGCCGUCAGCCAGAAAGAAGAUCCUGCUCAAAUGUAUCAGCACACAGUGCCAAGAAUCUUGUUGAACCUGGCCCAAGAUAUACCUACAAAGAGGACACUAGGUAGAUGCUACUCAAACUGCUGAAAAUAUCAAAACUAAAGAGACAAUCUUGAAAGCGAUUAGAGAAGUGCUAUAUAUUACACACUGGGAAACAAGGACAUGAAAGAAUGCAGACUUCUUAUCAGAAACCAUCCACGCCGUAAGACGCUAAAACGAUAUUUUUGAAGUGUUGAAAGAAAAAAAAGUGCUACCUCAGAAUUCUGUCAUCUAUGAAAACACUCUCAAAAAUAAAGAAGAAAUAAAGAGAAAA